AAGGGGAUUCGCUCUUUCCAGAAAUAUUUCAAUCUUUUAAUAAAUAUAUUACCUAUGUACCUACCUACCCUACCAGUAAUGCCUUGCUUGAAUGACUUUACCUAAAAAAUGACGCGUACAAGGAUUACUAUUUACAAAUUUAGAAUGAGUUUCUUGUGUAGGACCAUAAAGCCUGUCAUCAAACUUUUUCUGACAAAUAAUAAUAUUGAAUAAACAGUGGUGUCAAAACAUAGAGAAUAUACUUCAAAACCACACAACAUAUUUAUCUAAAAUAGUUUGUAUUCAUGUGUCGUACAAAAAAGAUACCACAAGCUCUUCAUAUGUGCUGGAUUUUAUUAUUCAUAUUAAUGAGAGAAUGUCUAAGUAUUGAGUGAGUAGCUCUGUGUUAGUCUGCUCAUGAAAAACGGAGAGUAACACCAAGAUUUGUUGGGGAGUUAUCAUCUAUAUUAUUAAAGUAAAAUUUGUAUUCGUGGAUGCCUAACAACUCUGGGAAACGUCUGGUACUACCGCUAGUAGAAAAAAUAUAAUAAAGAAUAGUUUAUCUGUAUGUAUUUGUGAAUAUACUACGUACAUUCAUUUUUGAGUGGAUCUUAGGACUACGUAGACACUUGAUCUACGAAGAACUAUAUGAGGAGGUCUCAUUUCUAGCACUGAUUAUGUGUAGUUCAACUCAUAUUUUUUCUUAGAUUCUUAGUCUCUAGACUAAAGUACUCCUUGGCUAGUCGAAUGACUACUAUAUAUACAUGAACUUAAACUAGUUCAAACAAGAAAGUAAAGUGGACAUCGAAGGGAACACUGAGAAAGAAACUGCUUCCUCAGUACUCUUUAGUAUUUAGUAUCCAGGCGCUAUUCCUGAUGUAUUCCGGAUGAAGGAAGAUCUUCUCAUGAAUGGACUCAAGCCAUCCCACAUCUAAUUGAAAGCCAAGUCAUUAUGAUAGAGUUUUCUCUAUUCAUUUCCAUCCCUCCAACUACUGAGCUACUUCUUAGGACACCAAUACGAGACGGAAAAAUUGUUUCUACCCUCGACUCCAAGAAAGCCUGAACCCCGGUUUACCAAAGCAUUAUUCGAGACAUGUUCCCAAAGAGAGAUCAAAUAGGACGAGUUGUAUGGUCCGACAUGAAGCUGAAGCUCAUAGGCUAGAAAACUGCAUAUCUGAUUUUUUGAAGCAGAGCGAAUCGAACCAUUUCAGAGUUAAAAAAUCAUAUUGAUGGAUUGUCUUUACCUUUUAAUAUAUUAAUUCAAUGGAAAGUAGAGUCCGUCUUGUUCUAUGCCUUCGGUUAAAUCACGAAUUACCUUUGAUAUUUCUAUGACAAUGUAGUCAUGUGGCCAUGAGACAUUUUUCUGAGAUGUCUUCACGGGCUAUCAUUACAUCAACGAAUAAGUUAUGCAAUUUGAUCUACAAGACAAAACACUAUGUGCUGAAACAGUUAUGUCAAAGACUUCGUCAUAGAUAAUUUCAUUGACUUACUCAAUAAUAUUGUGGAAAAUAUCGAUAGCAGUUUAAACCACUGAUACAUUUUUCCACUGAAAAACUGGAAUUUUGUAAAUCCAAGAGGCCCCACGAAUUACUCCCUUAGCACACUUGAUAAAUAUUGUUGUUAAUUUAAUGUAUUAAUUUAAAGUAACGCUUUUAAUUUUCAGCAAUAGCUCUUAUUUCGAAAAGUGCAUCGAAAUCUUUGCACAAAUUUAUAUUGAGCGAAGGAAUCCCGAAAUUACAAUCUAUGCAGCGGCUAGCAAAGGCUCUCAAGCUGUUUUACAGUCGAUAUAUUACUUAGUCAUCAAAACCAUAAAAUAUUUGGAACAAAGAGUAAAUAAUCUGAACGAUAGAGAAACAAUUGUGACCAUUAUUAUGGAUGAAGUAUAUUGUGCAAAAGUUUGUGUGUAUAAAGGAGGGAAAUUUUGCGUUAUUGAACAUGAAGUGGAUACACUAAAAAGACCUUGCUCUGUGUGAUGAUCAAAAGCUUAACUAACAAAUAUGAAGACCGUAUUCAGUGGUGCCUUUGACAAAAUUAGAUAAUAAAAUUCAGAGAAAGAUAUUCUAAGUUGUAGAAGCAAUAACACCUGCUGGUUUUGAGCUAGUUUCCUCACUGAUGGAUAUUCGGCGAACAGAAAAUUCUACACUAAAGAGCUAUGCAACAGCAUAUUGGAUACGCAUAUAGUCAACUUUUGUGAUAGUGUGAAAAAGUUAUUAAUGUUAUUUGAUAGAGUGCAUAUACAAAAACUUCUUGGGAAAAGGUGUUUGAAAUGUCCUUCGUUUGAUGGUGAAGAAAUAAUUGCUGAAUUUGUCCUUGUAAAAAAAUUAUAGCAUCUCGAGCAAACAAAACCUGUGAAGUAUGCAUACAAAUUGAAUGACAAAAGUUCUUAACCCUCACCUCAUUGAAAAAAAAAACACAUCGCGCUAGUAUAUGUCUUGUUCCAUGAAAGUAUCAUUUAUGGUCUUGAAUUUUAUGGAAAGUUAUUACCCUGAAUUCCAAAUAAUAUUUCGAAUAAGUUAAAGAAGUUGAGAUCUGAGAAAAAAUGUGCUCUAUAUUAGUUUGGCUUUGAAAUAUAUAUUUAUUAUAAAUGAUAA
rnacentral:lncRNA from 1 species